GGCAAACGGGGUAGUAACGGGUAGGCGACGUACCCUCGGGUCGGGGAUAGCCACGGGAAACUGUGGGUAAUACCCGAUAACCUCUUCGGGCGUGAUAGCCUGGAGAGCAAAGGUGUGAUUCCACCGGAGGAGCGGCCUGCCUCGUAUUAGCUGGUUGGUGAGGUAACGGCUCACCAAGGCGACGAUGCGUAGGGGGUGUGAGAGCAUGACCCCCACCACUGGGACUGAGAUACUGCCCAGACACCUACGGGUGGCUGCAGUCGAGAAUCUUCGGCAAUGGGCGCAAGCCUGACCGAGCGACGCCGCGUGUGGGAUGAAGGCCCUUGGGUUGUAAACCACUGUCAGAGGGGAUGAAGUGCCAGAGGGCAAUCUCUCUGGUUUGACAUAGCCUCAGAGGAAGCACGGGCUAAGUUCGUGCCAGCAGCCGCGG
rnacentral:rRNA from 1 species